AGCAUUACGCCGGAUGAACGGAAGUCAUUGAUGUUGACUAAUAUGGGAUGAAAUCUCUGGUGCUG
rnacentral:tRNA from 1 species